rnacentral:rRNA from 1 species
GGCGGCAGGCCUAACACAUGCAAGUCGAGCGGUAGAGAGAAGCUUGCUUCUCUUGAGAGUGGCGGACGGGUGAGUAAUGCCUAGGAAUCUGCCUGGUAGUGGGGGAUAACGUUCGGAAACGGACGCUAAUACCGCAUACGUCCUACGGGAGAAAGCAGGGGACCUUCGGGCCUUGCGCUAUCAGAUGAGCCUAGGUCGGAUUAGCUAGUUGGUGAGGUAAUGGCUCACCAAGGCGACGAUCCGUAACUGGUCUGAGAGGAUGAUCAGUCACACUGGAACUGAGACACGGUCCAGACUCCUACGGGAGGCAGCAGUGGGGAAUAUUGGACAAUGGGCGAAAGCCUGAUCCAGCCAUGCCGCGUGUGUGAAGAAGGUCUUCGGAUUGUAAAGCACUUUAAGUUGGGAGGAAGGGUUGUAGAUUAAUACUCUGCAAUUUUGACGUUACCGACAGAAUAAGCACCGGCUAACUCUGUGCCAGCAGCCGCGGUAAUACAGAGGGUGCAAGCGUUAAUCGGAAUUACUGGGCGUAAAGCGCGCGUAGGUGGUUUGUUAAGUUGGAUGUGAAAUCCCCGGGCUCAACCUGGGAACUGCAUUCAAAACUGACUGACUAGAGUAUGGUAGAGGGUGGUGGAAUUUCCUGUGUAGCGGUGAAAUGCGUAGAUAUAGGAAGGAACACCAGUGGCGAAGGCGACCACCUGGACUAAUACUGACACUGAGAUGCGAAAGCGU